CUUCCUUUGGCUACACACAUCCACGACGCUCAGAGAGCUCUGCUUGAUAAAAAACAUCACUAAAAGUACACUGGAAGGAACGCCUCCCUGGUCACUGUUUCCAUUUCCCUGUGCUGCAUGAGAUCAGUGCAAGCCCAGCACUACAGCCCCAGGUGCCAACACGUCCCCGUGACAGAGGGAACUCACCCUGCAGCACCAGCCCAGAGGCAGCAUCACUUCCAGGGCAGAGGGAGAUGGGCAGUGAGCACAAGGGAGAUCUUCUUUGUCAGUACCUACUCCUGAUGAUAGCUGUGUAGCCAUUGCACAGCAGAAACUCUUCAGCACAAGCAAUGAACCACAUGGAUCUACCAGGGUAUACGCAGAGGAAGGAAUGAAAUUGAAAGCAAGGACAAAAGGAUCAGGAAACAUAAUAAAAAGCAACAACAAAAGAAGAAGAUUUAGGUGUCCCAGUUACUAAACAUAAGGAGAGUUGAGCAAGGAGGCAAAAAGCAGCACAGCAGUGUCAGAAAAACACAUUUCAGUUUCCUUGAAAAGAUUUCGGCUGGUUCAACAGCACAUGCCUCAGUUCCCCUAAUUGCUCCUCAGGGUUGGCCACCCCGACCUAUUUUGCAAAGGUGUUGUCGAGUUUAAUUUGUGAACCUUUGAGAAGCGCUCCGAGUUCUGCAGAUGAAAGGCGCUGCAGAUGCCAAACGUG
ensembl:lncRNA